UGAAAACUCAAGGCUCAACCUUGAGCUUGCAUCGGGUACGGGCAGACUAGAGUGCGGUAGGGGUGACUGGAAUUCCUGGUGUAGCGGUGGAAUGCGCAGAUAUCAGGAGGAACACCGAUGGCGAAGGCAGGUCACUGGGCCGCAACUGACGCUGAGGAGCGAAAGCAUGGGGAGCGAACAGGAUUAGAUACCCUGGUAGUCCAUGCCGUAAACGUUGGGCACUAGGUGUGGGGCUCAUUCCACGAGUUCCGUGCCGCAGCUAACGCAUUAAGUGCCCCGCCUGGGGAGUACGGCCGCAAGGCUAAAACUCAAAGGAAUUGACGGGGGCCCGCACAAGCGGCGGAGCAUGCGGAUUAAUUCGAUGCAACGCGAAGAACCUUACCAAGGCUUGACAUGCACCGGAACUGCUCAGAGAUGGGUAGGUCUUCGGACUGGUGCACAGGUGGUGCAUGGUUGUCGUCAGCUCGUGUCGUGAGAUGUUGGGUUAAGUCCCGCAACGAGCGCAACCCUCGUCCUAUGUUGCCAGCACGUUAUGGUGGGGACUCAUAGGAGACUGCCGGGGUCAACUCGGAGGAAGGUGGGGAUGACGUCAAAUCAUCAUGCCCCUUAUGUCUUGGGCUUCACGCAUGCUACAAUGGCCGGUACAAAGGGCUGCGAUACCGCGAGGUGGAGCGAAUCCCAAAAAGCCGGUCUCAGUUCGGAUUGGGGUCUGCAACUCGACCCCAUGAAGUCGGAGUCGCUAGUAAUCGCAGAUCAGCAACGCUGCGGUGAAUACGUUCCCGGGCCUUGUACACACCGCCCGUCAAGUCACGAAAGUCGGUAACACCCGAAGCCGGUGGCCUAACCCCUUGUGGGACGGAGCCGUCGAAGGUGGGAUUGGCGAUUGGGACUAAGUCGUAACAAGGUAGCCGUACCGGAAGGUGCGGCUGGAUCACCUCCUUUCUAAGGAGCCACACCGGUUCAACCAUCAAACGCUUUUUCGUGCUUGUCAGUGUCCUUCGGGAGCUGGUGGGGCGGGGGCGGGUUGGCCGGCAAGUGCCACGCUCAGGCCGUACGUGUCUGAGGUGGGACGCUCAUGGGUGGAACAUUGACUUAGCGCGAACCCGGUGGGUUGGUCGCUGCUAGUACGUUCGGUUCGCUUCUUCGGGAG
rnacentral:rRNA from 2 species